GCACUCUCCCUUCAGCAGCACAUAUACUAAAAUUGGAGCGAUACAGAGAAGAUUAGCAUGGCCCCUGCACAAGGAUGACACGCAAACCUGUGAAGCAGUCCAUAUUAAA
rnacentral:snRNA from 1 species